UACAGAGGAUGCAAGCGUUAUCCGGAAUGAUUGGGCGUAAAGCGUCUGUAGGUGGCUUUUAAGUCCGCCGUCAAAUCCCAGGCUCAACUCUGGACAGGCGGUGGAAACUACCAAGCUGGAGUACGGUAGGGCAGAGGGAAUUUCCGGUGGAGCGGUGAAAUGCGCAGAGAUCGGAAAGAACACCAACGGCGAAAGCACUCUGCUGGCCGACACUGACACUGAGAGACGAAAGCUAGGGAGCGAAUGG
rnacentral:rRNA from 1 species